GCAUAUCAAUAAGCGGAGGAAAAAGAAACCAACAGGGAUUGCCCCAGUAACGGCGAGUGAAGCGGCAACAGCUCAAAUUUGAAAUCUGGCCUUCGGGUCCGAGUUGUAAUUUGGAGAGGAUGCUUUUGGCGCGGCGCCGUCCGAGUUCCUUGGAACAGGACGCCAUAGAGGGUGAGAGCCCCGUACGGGCGGCCGCCUAGCCUUUGUAAAGCUCCUUCGACGAGUCGAGUAGUUUGGGAAUGCUGCUCAAAAUGGGAGGUAAAUUUCUUCUAAAGCUAAAUACCGGCCAGAGACCGAUAGCGCACAAGUAGAGUGAUCGAAAGAUGAAAAGCACUUUGAAAAGAGGGUUAAAAAGUACGUGAAAUUGUUGAAAGGGAAGCGCCUGUGACCAGACUUGCGACCCGUGGAUCAUCCGGUGUUCUUCACCGGUGCACUCCGCGGGCUGCAGGCCAGCAUCGGUUUUCCUAGGGGGAUAAAGGUCGCAGGAACGUAGCUCUUUCGGGAGUGUUAUAGCCUGUGGCGUCAUGCCUCUGGGGAGACCGAGGACCGCGCUUCGGCAAGGAUGCUGGCGUAAUGGUCACCGGCGACCCGUCUUGAAACACGGACCAAGGAGUCAAGCAUUGGGGCGAGUGUCUGGGUGCCAAACCCGCACGCGAAAUGAAAGUAAACGCAGGUGAGAGCUUCGGCGCAUCACCGACCGAUCCUGAUGUCUUCGGAUGGAUUUGAGUAAGAGCCUUACCGCUUGGACCCGAAAGAUGGUGAACUAUGCCUGUAUAGGGUGAAGCCAGAGGAAACUCUGGUGGAGGCUCGCAGCGGUUCUGACGUGCAAAUCGAUCGUCAAAUAUGGGCAUGGGGGCGAAAGACUAAUCGAACCAUCUAGUAGCUGGUUACCGCCGAAG
rnacentral:rRNA from 1 species